UCCCUGAUGGUCUAGUGGUUAGGAUUUGGUACUUUCACUGCUGCGGCCUGGGUUCAAUCCCCUGGUCUGGGAA
rnacentral:tRNA from 1 species